GACGGGAGAUGCAAGCGUUGUUCGGAAUCACUGGGCUUAAAGCGCGUGUAGGCGGCUCGGUAAGUAUCUUGUGAAAUCCCAGGGCUCAACCUUGGAAUCGCUUGGUAUACUGCCGAGCUUGAGGCAGGUAGGGGUCACUGGAACUCUAGGUGGAGCGGUGAAAUGCGUAGAUAUCUAGAGGAACGCCCGUGGCGAAAGCGGGUGACUGGGCCUGUCCUGACGCUGAGACGCGAAAGCGUGGGUAGCAAACGGG
rnacentral:rRNA from 1 species